rnacentral:lncRNA from 1 species
GCUAACAGUUUAAGCAAGCAGUGCACUGCACUGCACUUUCUGGGAUCAUGCUCUUUCCUUAUAUAAUGUACAAAUAUAAAUAUAGAGGAUGACACUCACUAACUAGAAAGUUGCAAAAGCUGGAGUUGAUGGAAAAUGUCAUGUAAUUCCAUAGUAUGGGAUUCAUGUGCAGCUGGGCCAAAACACUUACCGAGCAGACUUCUCCAAGAUGAGUCUACCAGUUGUGUUCAUCUGAACAGUUGCUGGCUUCUGGCUGCCUUGGACAGGUCAUUUGAAAAUCUCAGAGGAAAUUUAACAGGCUCUACCCAUACACCUUACCAAAAGGAAUCCCCUAUAUACACUGUAUGCACACGUGCAACCGUGGACUGUGUGGUAAGUGAAUAGAUGAAAGCAAUACUUGUCAAGAUUUUGUGGGGUUUUGGUAACGAUGAGUUAGCUAAUCCAGUCCAUGUUCAGUCAAGGGGAUUUGACUUGUAUGUUUGCCUUAAACAAUACGUAAUUGUAUUACAGAAUAUUUUCACAUCCAGCAUGUAAUUAACUACUUGCAAUGGUACCCAAAAUGGGAUUAACUGUUAUGGUCUUUUAAAUUCAGAACAAAUAUGAGUAAAUUAGUGUGAAUAUUAUCCAUCAUGGAUAAUGGGUCAAAGUAGUCAAUAGAGCAUUACACCUGUUUUGCCCACAUGGAAGAAAAAAUUGUACCUCAGUUUUAGACUAUGGAAGAAUUUUGAGUCUUGUAACCACGGCUUUCAAUGCAUAUCGACAUGAUCUUAGUCACUUGAAUACAGAUACACUUGUAAGGGUGAGAUCAAACUCAUCUGAUUUUAAAUGUAUUAAUCUCUGGUUAGUUGUAGAUUUGAGUAUCUACAAAGUAGUGUGUACUUCUGAGCAAGGUGUAACCUGUGACCAGGUUACUGUUGUUACCAAUGGAGAACUGUGACAGGAUUAAAUAUAUGCAAGUAAUGUCAUUUUAAGUGCUCAGAAUUGUAUUACCUAGCAUCCAGCUGCUGUUCUAGAAAGUUCUGGAUCUUCUUUAGGCCUCCUUUUCUUGCCAGUGCCAUGGGUGUCUUAGAUGCCCCAAGGCAUCUCAGAUGGUUCUAGAUGCCUAUGUAUGGACAAGGACCUCUGUCCACAGUGUUCAUGUCUUCACCUAAGAUAGUCUUGACCAUGGCUAAAGCUGAUGAAGAGCAAUAGGCACAUCUCCCCUGGUAUAGAUACAUCUUAAAAUGACUUGACACUUGUCAAGCCACUGUUCUCUGUUGUCUUUUAAAGGAGUAUGAAGCUUACCAUGUGAGGCAUGGGCAUCUAUAUUCUAGUCAUCCAAAUAUAAGCAAGUGAGUCCUAUUCUCCUCUUUCUGGAAGAGGCAUCCAUGACAAAGGAUCAGCUCCUUUUAUAUCUUUGGAUAGUCUUAUUAUUAUGGGACUAUCCUCACUAAUCUCAAAGAGCAGAUGCAAAAGAAGAGUGCAUCCACUCACUCACCCAUCCCAUGUUUGGUGAUGUGCUGGAUCAAUGAAUGCAUCUGUGUUUGUGAAUACGAUAUUGUUUGAUUCAAAUGUCAAGAAAUAAAAAGCAGGGAGAAAGGACA